rnacentral:rRNA from 1 species
UGUCUUUUUGAAAAUAAUAUAAAGUCUAAUCUGCCCACUGAUUUAAUAAUUGAAGGGCUGCAGUAUAUUGACUGUACAAAGGUAGCAUAAUCAUUAGUCAUUUAAUUGAUGACUUGUAUGAAGGAUUGGAUGAAAUAUAGACUGUCUCUUAUUUAAAUAUAGAAUUUAAUUUUUUAAUUAAAAAGUUAAAAUAAUUUAAAAAGACGAGAAGACCCUAUAGAGUUUUAUAAAUAAAUUAAUUGAGAUUAUUUAUUAAAUAAAAUUAAAAUUAAGUUGUUUAUUAUAUUGGGGUGAUAGAAAAAUGUAAUUAACUUUUUUUUUAUAUGAAAACAUUUAUAAGUGAUUAUAUGAUCCAAUAUUAUUGAUUAUAAGAAAAAAUUACCUUAGGGAUAACAGCGUAAUUUUUUUUUUUAGUUCAUAUAAGAAAAAGAGUUUGCGACCUCGAUGUUGGAUUAAGAUAAAAUUUAAAUGCAGAAG